GUGAAGAACCCACUGAAGACAAUCAUCAGAGCUGAGAAAAUUAACUAAGAAAAAGAUGCACGUGGCUGUAAUUAGAAGAAAAACAAUUUGCCUGCUCUCAUUUGGCUGAGCAUUUUAAAAAACCUUUUCAAUAAUACAAGAGAGAAGAGACUGAAUUGUGAUGGCUGGAACCAUGGAUGAGAGAACAACACACAGCCAUCAGAAAAUGUGCCUGGAGCACCUCCUGGGUGGCAGCCUGUUGCAGCAGCAUUCAUGAGUCUGGGCACAUACAGUCUGGGAUAGGUGUCCAGGUGUAUUCUGCUAGAAAGUUACCAAAACACCCUGAGCCUCAAUUUCUUUAUUGAUCCUGCUGCCUAUUCAUGUACCUGGCACAUAACUGUUGUUCAACAAAUACAUGCAGAAUCACAGGAUUAAUAGCAGAUGCACUGCAGUCCUCCUGGCUCCUGCACUUGCCACAGGAGAAGGCAGUACUUUGGAGGUUGCCCAUCUCCUGUGGGCUCCAGAACCCUCAGGUGAGGGAGCUGGCUCCAUAGAGAGUUCACACUUACCUGGGUCUGUGAGAGUUUUGGCAAGUGGAAGGUGGAUGGCAGUGAUGUGUGUCAUUUCCAGGCCUGGCAACCUAAAUACCUCCUCUGUGCAUUCCACGGUGGCUCAUUCUUGCCUUGUUGGCCAGCCAGAAGAUGAAGAUCCAGCAUAGAGCUCCAAAGCCUCCAGGACUCCAAGGCAUCUAGGAAAUAGAGGAGGAACUAAAUGCAGGGUGCUUGGGCCCCUGGAAGACUGCAUGGAGCAGAACAACUCUUCCUCAUCCCCUCUUUCUGCUGAUUCAGUGUGGUCUGUGAUGAGGAAAGUAAAGAGCACUGGACUUGGUAUCAGAAGACGAGGGUGGAAUCUCAAUUCUGCCACUAAUUAGCACCAUGACCUUGUGGAGCAAGAGAGACCAAAACCUAACCUGAGUUACAAGAAACAAGACAUUAACGGCUAUAAAGGGAGUGACCAGGAGCAACUGGGACACUCUUUACCUCCCAUUUCCAAUGACCGAGGACCAAGAGGAGACCGAUCUGAUGGAGAGACUAUUGCCCUCACCUUGAGACCCAGGAUUGUAUUUGGAUUCAGUGACUGGAGGUUGCUUAAGGAUUUCAUCCUAGGAGUUGAUUGCUGAGGCAACCGGAGGAUCCAGAGAUCAACACAGACAACUCCUGUUUC